rnacentral:rRNA from 1 species
CAGUCGAACGGGGUUAUGAAGUGUGAGGAGUCAGCUUGCUGGUGACGAACACUUCAUAACUUAGUGGCGGACGGGUGAGUAACGCGUGGGUAACCUGCCAUAUACAGGGGGAUAACACUUAGAAAUAGGUGCUAAUACCGCAUAAGCGCACGGAGCUGCAUGGCUCAGUGUGAAAAACUCCGGUGGUAUAUGAUGGACCCGCGUCUGAUUAGCUUGUUGGCGGGGUAACGGCCCACCAAGGCGACGAUCAGUAGCCGGCCUGAGAGGGUGGACGGCCACAUUGGGACUGAGACACGGCCCAAACUCCUACGGGAGGCAGCAGUGGGGAAUAUUGGACAAUGGGGGGAACCCUGAUCCAGCGACGCCGCGUGAGUGAAGAAGUAUUUCGGUAUGUAAAGCUCUAUCAGCAGGGAAGAAAGAAAUGACGGUACCUGACCAAGAAGCCCCGGCUAACUACGUGCCAGCAGCCGCGGUAAUACGUAGGGGGCAAGCGUUAUCCGGAUUUACUGGGUGUAAAGGGAGCGUAGACGGUAAUGCAAGUCUGGAGUGAAAUGCAGGGGCUCAACCCCUGAACUGCUUUGGAAACUGUAUGACUGGAGUGCAGGAGAGGUAAGUGGAAUUCCUAGUGUAGCGGUGAAAUGCGUAGAUAUUAGGA